AACGAACGCUGGCGGCAUGCCUAACACAUGCAAGUCGAACGAGAACUUCGGGUCUAGUGGCGCACGGGUGCGUCACGCGUGGGAACCUGCCCUUAGGUUCGGAAUAACUCCCCGAAAGGGGUGCUAAUACCGGAUAAUGUCUUCGGACCAAAGAUUUAUCGCCUUUGGAUGGGCCCGCGUUGGAUUAGCUAGUUGGUAGGGUAAAAGCCUACCAAGGCGACGAUCCAUAGCUGGUCUGAGAGGAUGAUCAGCCACACUGGGACUGAGACACGGCCCAGACUCCUACGGGAGGCAGCAGUGGGGAAUAUUGGACAAUGGGCGAAAGCCUGAUCCAGCAAUGCCGCGUGAGUGAUGAAGGCCUUAGGGUUGUAAAGCUCUUUUACCCGUGAUGAUAAUGACAGUACCGGGAGAAUAAGCUCCGGCUAACUCCGUG
rnacentral:rRNA from 1 species